rnacentral:tRNA from 1 species
CAGAACAUAGCUAAAUGAUAGCCCUUCACUUACACUGAGGUAGUCACCCGAUCGCUCCGAGUUGUUCUGA